rnacentral:rRNA from 1 species
GAAGGCCUUAGGGUCGUAAAGCUCUUUCGCUGGGGAAGAUAAUGACUGUACCCAGUAAAGAAACCCCGGCUAACUCCGUGCCAGCAGCCGCGGUAAUACGGAGGGGGUUAGCGUUGUUCGGAAUUACUGGGCGUAAAGCGCGCGUAGGCGGAUCAGAAAGUUGGGGGUGAAAUCCCGGGGCUCAACCUCGGAACUGCCUCCAAAACUCCUGGUCUUGAGUUCGAGAGAGGUGAGUGGAAUUCCGAGUGUAGAGGUGAAAUUCGUAGAUAUUCGGAGGAACACCAGUGGCGAAGGCGGCUCACUGGCUCGAUACUGACGCUGAGGUGCGAAAGUGUGGGGAGCAAACAGGAUUAGAUACCCUGGUAGUCCACACCGUAAACGAUGAAUGCCAGUCGUCGGCAAGCAUGCUUGUCGGUGACACACCUAACGGAUUA